UACGAAGGGGGCUAGCGUUGCUCGGAAUCACUGGGCGUAAAGCGCACGUAGGCGGAUCUUUAAGUCAGGGGUGAAAUCCUGGAGCUCAACUCCAGAACUGCCUUUGAUACUGAGGAUCUCGAGUCCGGAAGAGGUGAGUGGAACUCCGAGUGUAGAGGUGAAAUUCGUAGAUAUUCGGAAGAACACCAGUGGCGAAGGCGGCUCACUGGUCCGGUACUGACGCUGAGGUGCGAAAGCGUGGGGAGCGAACGGG
rnacentral:rRNA from 1 species